UCGGAUUCGGUGGACUACGUCAAUGACCAGUGCUUUUUUUAUUUAAUGUUAAAGGGGUAUUCCAGGUCCAGACAGGAGGAGAAAACCCCCAGGUGACCGGAGUUGUGGGAGGAAAUGCUGUUGUCUUCUGAACGUCUUGGUUCUUCUGUUACUUUGCUCCCUCUGGUUUGGCCUAGGAAGUGACAGAUGGCGGC